rnacentral:tRNA from 1 species
UCCGAUAUGGUGUAGUGGCUAACAUUAUCGCCUCUCAUUCCGUCUGCGCGAUAGCCCGGGGUUCGAUUCCCCGUGUCGGAA